AAUGAACGCUGGCGGCAUGCCUAACACAUGCCAGUCGAGCGGAGAGGCGGACGGGGGAGUAAUGCCUAGGAAUCUGCCUGGUAGUGGGGGAUAACGUACGGAAAGGGGAGCUAAUCCCGCAUACUAUCAGAUUAGCCUAGGUCGGAUUAGCUAGUUGGUGGGGUAAAGGCCUACGAAUGUGGCGAUCCGUAACUGGUCUGCGAGGAUGAUCAGUCAAACUGGAACUGAGACACGGUCCAGACUCCUACGGAAGGCAGCAGUGGGGAAUAUUGGACAAUGGGCGAAAGCCUGAUCCAGCCAUGCCGCGUGUGUGAAGAAGGUCUUCGGAUUGUAAAGCACUUUAAGUUGGGAGGCGUUACCAACAGAAUAAGCACCGGCUAACUUCGUGCCAGCAGCCGCGGUAAUAC
rnacentral:rRNA from 1 species